AUUGAACGCUGGCGGCGUGCUUAACACAUGCAAGUCGAGCGGCAGCGCGGGAGCAAUCCUGGCGGCGAGCGGCGAACGGGUGAGUAAUGCUUCGGAAUCUGCCCAGUAGUGGGGAAUAACCAGUCGAAGGAUUGGCUAAUACCGCAUACGACCUGAGGGUGAAAGCGGGGGAUCGCAAGACCUCGCGCUAUGGGAUGAGCCGAAGUCGGAUUAGCUAGUUGGUGGGGUAACGGCUCACCAAGGCGACGAUCCGGAGCUGGUCUGAGAGGACGACCAGCCACACUGGGACUGAGACACGGCCCAGAGUCCUACGGGAGGCAGCAGUGGGGAAUAUUGGACAAUGGGGGCAACCCUGAUCCAGCGACGCCGCGUGUGUGAAGAAGGCCUGCGGGUUGUAAAGCACUUUUAGUGGGGAGGAAAUGCUCAGACCUAACACGUCUGGGAACUGACUUAACCCAAAGAAAAAGCACCGGCUAACUCUGUGCCAGCCGCCGCCGUAAAAC
rnacentral:rRNA from 1 species